UUGUGUUUGAAGUUCUUUAAUUGAAUCCAUGAAUAUUUUUUUUAUGGGAAUUUUGAAUAGCCAUUUAAAAUCCUUAGUAAAAAAGAAUGGAAGAAGAUAAGCAAAUGAUAUCCAUGUCUCCACAAUUUCUAUCUAACCAGUUAGGAUGCCUAAAAAGAGUAAAACCAAAAAAUACAAUUGUAGUUAGCUUUGUAAAAUCAAUUUCAGUGGUUCUUUUUCGGUUCUCUUUCCAGGCAAAAGCUUUAGUAGAGAUGAACGUGCAUGGUCUUUUUACUCAAAGAGAGCAAGCAAAGAGAAACAUAACCCUAAAUAGUAUUUUCACAAUCAGAUAAUCAUAAACUCUAUAUGCAGAGGUCAGAAGUUAGUCGAAUAAAUGCAAAGGACUACUACCAUGUCUCCUGAGUAAGAUGUUGAUUCAUUCAUAUGUGUAAUUUUCUGCUCUGUUGGGAACUGAGGAAGACGGAAGAAAUCCAUGCCUCAUAGAUGUAUGCUACAUAUGUUGAAAUUCUACUUCUAACUGAACUUGGUUGGUGUUCAGACGUCUAUGUUUUGGCGAAAAUUCUACUUCUGACUGAACGGGAUAAAUGGCUCCAUGAAGCUCAUACACAAGGUUUUUGAGUUACUAAAGAUUCCGGGCUCAUUGACUUAAAUCUGUCGCCGACAGUUACAAUUUUGUUUUCUUUUCAAGCAGUAAAAAUGUCGUGUGAGUGUAUCAAGUAUCACUGUCUU